rnacentral:rRNA from 1 species
AUUCCAAUCGAACCCGGAGAUAGCUGGUUCUCCCCGAAAUAGCUUUAGGGCUAGCGUCGAGGUAAGUUGCGUGAAGGUAGAGCACUGAAUAUGUGAUGGCCCCAUCUCGGGGUACUGAGCAUAAUCAAACUGCGAAUGUCACGCCAACAUGCUCGGCAGUCAGACAGCGGGUGAUAAGGUCCGUUGUCAAGAGGGAAACAGCCCAGACCAUCAGCUAAGGUCCCAAAAUGUAUGCUAAGUGGAAAAGGAUGUGGAGAUGUACAGACAACUAGGAGGUUGGCUCAGAAGCAGCCAUCCUUUAAAGAGUGCGUAACAGCUCACUAGUCGAAUGACUCUGCGCCGAUAAUUUACCGGGGCUAAGCAUACUACCGAAGCUAUGGAUCCCAAGGGAUGGUAGGGGAGCGUUCCAUGAACGGAGAAGUACGACCGAAAGGACGUGUGGAGAUCAUGGAAGAGAGAAUGCCGGUGUGAGUAGCGGAACGUGGGUGAGAAUCCCACGCACCGAAAACCCAAGGUUUCCAGAGGAAGGUUCGUCCGCUCUGGGUAAGUCGGGACCUAAGGCGAGGCCGAAAGGCGUAGUCGAUGGACAACAGGUAGAGAUUCCUGUACCCGUAUAUAUGUGAAGGAAUGACGGAGAGAGGAAGCUGCAGCCAGCGGCUGGAAGAGCUGGUGCAAGCGAGAUAUCGGGAUGGCAGGCAAAUCCACCAUCCGAAACGAGAAGGCGUGAAGCGUACGGAAAGCUACGGCGAGUACGGAAGGCAGUGGAGGAACUUCCAAGAAAAGUUUCUAACGUAAAGUAUAUAUGGCCCGUACCGAAAAUGGACACACAUGGGUGAGGAGAGAAUCCUAAGGUGAGCGAGAGAACUAUAGCUAAGGAACUCUGCAAAAUGACUCCGUAACUUAGGGAGAAGGAGUGCUCAUAGAGAUAUGAGCCGCAGUGAAACGGCCCAAGCGACUGUUUACCAAAAACACAGCUCUCUGCUAAGCCGCAAGGCGAAGUAUAGGGGGUGACGCCUGCCCGGUGCUGGAAGGUUAAGGGGAGGGGUUAACGCAAGUGAAGCCCUGAACUGAAGCCCCAGUAAACGGCGGCCGUAACUAUAACGGUCCUAAGGUAGCGAAAUUCCUUGUCAGGUAAGUUCUGACCCGCACGAAAGGCGUAACGAUUUGGGCGCUGUCUCAGCUGUAGACUCGGUGAAGUCUUAGUACCUGUGAAGAUGCAGGUUACCCGCGACUAGACGGAAAGACCCCAUGGAGCUUCACUGCAGGUUGAUAUUGGGAUUUGAUGCAGCAUGUACAGGAUAGGUAGGAGGCAAAGAGAUGGAUACGCCAGUAUUCAAGGAGCCGCUGUUGGGAUACUACCCCUGUUGUAUUGGAUUUCUAACCGGACGACGUAGAGCCGUUGACGGGACAGUGUCAGUCGGGCAGUUUGACUGGGGCGGUCGCCUCCCAAAGAGUAACGGAGGCGCCCAAAGAUACCCUCAGCUUGGAUGGAAACCAAGCGCAGAGUGCAAAGGCAAAAGGGUGUUUGACUGCGAGACCCACAAGUCGAGCAGGGACGAAAGUCGGGCUUAGUGAUCCGGCGGUGCUGAAUGGAAAGGCCGUCGCUCAACGGAUAAAAGCUACCCUGGGGAUAACAGGCUGAUCUCCCCCAAGAGUUCACAUCGACGGGGAGGUUUGGCACCUCGAUGUCGGCUCAUCGCAUCCUGGAGCUGAAGUCGGUUCCAAGGGUUGGGCUGUUCGCCCAUUAAAGCGGUACGCGAGCUGGGUUCAGAACGUCGUGAGACAGUUCGGUCCCUAUCUGUCGUGGGCGCAGGAAAUUUGAGAAGAGCUGUCCUCAGUACGAGAGGACCGGGAUGGACGCAUCAAUGGUGGACCAGUUGUCACGCCAGUGGCAUAGCUGGGUAGCUAAAUGCGGAAGGGAUAAACGCUGAAGGCAUCUAAGUGUGAAACCCACUUCAAGAUGAGAUUUCCCAUUGCGCAAGCAAGUAAGACCCCUUAAAGACGAUAAGGUAGAUAGGCCAGGGAUGGAAGUGCAGUGAUGUACGGAGUUGACUGGUACUAAUCGGUCGAGGACUUAAUCAG